AUAGUGGAUAAUGGGCGAAAGCCUGAUUCAGCCAUGCCGCGCGUGUGCAGCAGGUCUUGGGAUUGUAAAGCACUUUAAGCUGGGAGGUAGGGUUGUAGGUUAAUACGCUGCAGUGUUGACGUUACCAACAGAAUAAGCACCGGCUAACUUCGUGCCAGCAGCCGCGGUAAUACGACGGGUGCAAGCGUUAAUCGGAAUUACUGGGCGUAAAGCGCGCGUAGGGGGUUCGUUAAGUUGGAAGUGAAAGCCCCGGGCUUAACAUGGGAAUUGCGUUCAAAACUGACGAGCUAGAGUACGGUAGAGGGUAGUGGAAUUUCCUGUGUAGCGGUGAAAUGCGUAGAUAUAGGAAGGAACAUCAAUGGCGAAGGCGACUACCUGGACUGAUACUGACACUGAGGUGCGAAAGAGUGGGGAGCAAACAGG
rnacentral:rRNA from 1 species